AAGUCGUAACAAGGUUUCCGUAGGUGAACCUGCGGAAGGAUCAUUAACACGUAUCCAAACGUUAAACCCCCCCCGUGAACCUUCAUCGUGCUCUAGUGGGCCACUGAUAAACACAGCAAUUCCUGGUAAAUCAUUGUCUGAACAAGCCUUUGAGUCAGGAACCUCUGUGCAGUGCGAGCUACACCCACUAUAGAAGCGCUAGUUCCAUCGGCAUUGUUUCCCCAAGCAGCCAGUGCGUGAAAGUGGCAACUGACUGUGCAAGGAUAACGCUUAACGAUUUUGCAGCCGCAACACGCGGGCAGAGCUUUGCCAAAGGGUCCCCAUGCCCCCUAAUAACCCCACAGUUUAAUGUGAAGCUCAAUGUAAUACAUUAGGUAAAAAAACCGAACAACUGUUAACAAUAGAUAUCUUGGUUCUC
rnacentral:misc_RNA from 1 species